GACGUCGUGCCCGAGUGGUUAAGGGGAGUGACUAGAAUAUGGUACUAACCAGUAACAUAGAUUAUCACUUACGGUCUCCGUGCGCAAGUUCGAGUCUUGUCGACGUCG